UGAUUAAAGUGGCGCACGGGUGAGUAAUGAAUAGGAACGUACCUAUUGGUGGGGAAUAACUUGGAGAAAUUCAAGCUAAUACCGCAUAUGAACGCAAGUUCAAAGAGGGCCUCUGCUUGCAAGCUCUCGCCAAAUGAUCGGCCUAUUUUCCAUUAGCUUGUUGGUGGGGUAAAGGCCUACCAAGGCGACGAUGGAUAGCUGGUCUGAGAGGAUGAUCAGCCACACUGGAACUGAGACACGGUCCAGACUCC
rnacentral:rRNA from 1 species